rnacentral:lncRNA from 1 species
UACAGGUACAUCUGAAUGCACGACAAACUGCCCUAGCGGAGAGAAGUUUUCCUGCUUCGAAUUGCUCAUGCACAUGUGCCACGACAUCUAACCCCUGCGAAGAACUCCGAGAUAGCACUUGUCCAGAAGGCUACUUCCGCAGAUGCAGUAGUGACAUGCACGGAUGUACUUGCCGAUGUGAUAUUUAAUAGAAACCUGCACCAUGGCAAGCUGCGGUCGUCUUCAAGAUAUCAUUUCGCUUCUACAAAGAAAGUGUUUCGAGUAGCUGAAUUUAGUGCCGCCUUGAUUUCACUCUUAUUUGGUUCU